rnacentral:rRNA from 1 species
UCAAGCUAGAAAGGGCUGACGGGGGAUACCUAGGCACCUAGAGGCGAAGAAGGACGCGGUUACCGGCGAAACGCUCCGGGGAGCUGGAAGCAAGCGACGAUCCGGAGGUAUCCGAAUGGGGCAACCCGAAAGACGGCUGAGUGAAUUCAUAGCUCAGCACGAGCGAACCCAGCGAACUGAAACAUCUUAGUAGCUGGAGGAAAAGAAAGCAAAAGCGAUUCCCCAAGUAGUGGUGAGCGAAAGGGGAAGAGCCUAAACCAAAUGGCAAGCCAUUUGGGGUUGUGGGACAGCCACCAGGGAUGGGAAAAGUUAGGCGAAGUAGCUGAGACCUACACCAGAGAAGGUGAGAGUCCUGUAGCCGACAACCGGACCCACCCGGCUGGAUCCCGAGUAACUUGGUGCCCGUGGAACACCAAGUGAAUCAGCGAGGACCACCUCGUAAGGCUAAAUACUCCUAGGUGACCGAUAGCGAACCAGUACCGUGAGGGAAAGGUGAAAAGAACCCCGGAAGGGGAGUGAAAGAGAACCUGAAACCGUCAGCCUACAAGCAGCGGGAGGACGAUUGAACGUCUGACCGUGUGCCUGUUGAAGAAUGUGCCGGCGAGUUAUCUCUAGCGGCCGGUUAAGGUGUACAGCACCGGAGCCCCAGCGAAAGCGAGUCCGAACAGGGCGUCAGUCGCUAGGGAUAGACCCGAACCCGGGUGAUCUAACCAUGUCCAGGAUGAAGCUUGGGUAAUACCAAGUGGAGGUCCGCACCGACCAAUGUUGCAAAAUUGGCGGAUGAGAUGUGGUUAGGGGUGAAAUGCCAAUCGAACCCGGAGCUAUCUGGUUCUCCCCGAAAUGCGUUUAGGCGCAGCGGUGGUAAAAACACGACCGGGGUAAAGCACUGUUUCGGUGCGGGCUGCGAGAGCGGUACCAAAUCGAGACAAACUCGGAAUACGGUCGUGGAUGCCACUAGUAAGACGGUGUGGGAUAAGCUUCAUCGUCAAGAGGGAAACAGCCCAGACCGCCAGCUAAGGUCCCCAAAUGAUGGCUAAGUGACAAAGGAUGUGGGAGUGCUGAGACAACCAGGAGGUUGGCUUAGAAGCAGCCAUCCUUGAAAGAGUGCGUAAUAGCUCACUGGUCAAGCGCUCUUGCGCCGAAAAUGAAAGGGGCUAAGUCAUCUACCGAAGCUGCGGGCUGCAAGUCAGCGGUAGGGGAGCGUUCCCGUGCCCGAGAAGUGCUAGCGCAAGCAGGUAUGGAGGCGCGGGAAGUGAGAAUGUCGGCUUAAGUAGCGAAAACUAGGGCGAGAAUCCCUAGCCCCGAAACCCCAAGGGUUCCUCCGGAAGGUUCGUCCGCGGAGGGUCAGUCAGGACCUAAGGCGAGGCCGAAAGGCGUAGUCGAUGGACAACCGGUCAACAUUCCGGUACCGUGUUGGGUUGGUGCAGGGGGACGAAGAAGGCUAGGUCAGCCGGGAGAUGGUUACCGGUCCAAGCGUACGAGGCGAAGAGGAGCGGCGAAAACGUUCCGAGCUGAGGCGCGAUGGGGAGCUCCUACGGGAGCGAAGUGGCUGAGGUCCCGCUUCCAAGAAAAGCCCUACCCACCACAAAUCCAACAUGCCUGUACCCGAAACCGACACAGGUGGGGCGGUAGAGUAUACCAAGGGGCGCGAGCGAACUCUCUCUAAGGAACUCGGCAAAAUGACCCCGUAACUUCGGGAGAAGGGGUGCCUCCGAGAGGAGGUCGCAGUAAAGAGGCCCAGGCGACUGUUUACCAAAAACACAGGUCUCCGCUAAGUCGAAAGACGACGUAUGGGGGCUGACGCCUGCCCAGUGCCGGAAGGUUAAGGGCGUCAGUUAGCCCUUUAGGGUGAAGCUGACCACCGAAGCCCCGGUGAACGGCGGCCGUAACUAUAACGGUCCUAAGGUAGCGAAAUUCCUUGUCGGGUAAGUUCCGACCCGCACGAAAGGCGAAACGAUCUGGGCGCUGUCUCGGAGAGAGGCUCGGCGAAAUAGGAAUGUCUGUGAAGAUACGGACUGCCUGCACCAGGACAGAAAGACCCUAUGAAGCUUUACUGUAGCCUGGAAUUGGGUUCGGGCUUCACUUGCGCAGGAUAGGUGGGAGGCGAAGAAGGUUUCCCUGUGGGGAGACUGGAGCCAUCCUUGAGAUACCACUCUGGUGAGGCCGGAAUUCUAACCUUCACCCGUGAGCCGGGGAAGGAACAGUUUCAGGGGGGCAGUUUGACUGGGGCGGUCGCCUCCUAAAAGGUAACGGAGGCGCGCCAAGGUUCCCUCAGGCUGGUUGGAAAUCAGCCGUCGAGUGUAAAGGCACAAGGGAGCUUGACUGCGAGAGCGACUCCUCGAGCAGGUAGGAAACUAGGCCUUAGUGAUCCGGCGGCACUAGGUGGAAGGGCCGUCGCUCAACGGAUAAAAGUUACUCUAGGGAUAACAGGCUGAUCUCCCCCAAGAGUUCACAUCGACGGGGAGGUUUGGCACCUCGAUGUCGGCUCAUCGCCACCUGGGGCGGAAGUACGUCCCAAGGGUUGGGCUGUUCGCCCAUUAAAGCGGUACGUGAGCUGGGUUCAGAACGUCGUGAGACAGUUCGGUCCAUAUCCGGUGCAGGCGUAAGAGCAUUGAGAGGAGCCUUCCUUAGUACGAGAGGACCGGGAAGGACGCACCGCUGGUGUACCUGUUAUCGUGCCAACGGUAAACGCAGGGUAGCCAAGUGCGGAGCGGAUAACCGCUGAAAGCAUCUAAGUGGGAAGCCCACCUCAAGAUGAGUGCUCUCAUGGCGGCAAGCCAGUAAGGUCACGGGCAGAUGACCCGUUGAUAGGCGUCAGGUGGAAGUGCAGCAAUGCAUUAAGCCGAGACGUACUAACAGACCGAGGGCUUGACCUC